rnacentral:rRNA from 1 species
AGUGCAUGUGGUGGAUGCCUUGGCAGUCAGAGGCGAUGAAAGACGUGAUAGCCUGCGAAAAGCUCCGGGGAGGCGGCAAAUAUCCUUUGAUCCGGAGAUGUCUGAAUGGGGGAACCCACCUACUUUAAGGUAGGUAUUGCAACAUGAAUACAUAGUGUUGCAAGGCGAACGAGGGGAAGUGAAACAUCUCAGUACCCUUAGGAAAAGAAAUCAAUUGAGAUUCCCUCAGUAGCGGCGAGCGAACGGGGAUCAGCCCAUUAAGUUAUGUGUGUUUUAGUGGAACGCUCUGGGAAGUGCGAACGUAGAGGGUGAUAUUCCCGUACACGAAAGGGCACACAUAAUGAUGACGAGUAGGGCGAGGCACGUGAAACCUUGUCUGAAUAUGGGGGGACCAUCCUCCAAGGCUAAAUACUCCUGACUGACCGAUAGUGAACCAGUACCGUGAGGGAAAGGCGAAAAGAACCCCUGUGAGGGGAGUGAAAUAGAUCCUGAAACCGCAUGCAUACAAGCAGUGGGAGCACCUUCGUGGUGUGACUGCGUACCUUUUGUAUAAUGGGUCAGCGACUUAUAUUCAGUAGCGAGGUUAACCGUAUAGGGGAGCCGUAGAGAAAUCGAGUCUUAAUAGGGCGUUUAGUUGCUGGGUAUAGACCCGAAACCAGGCGAUCUAUCCAUGAGCAGGUUGAAGGUUGGGUAACACUAACUGGAGGACCGAACCCACUGUCGUUGAAAAGCCAGGGGAUGACUUGUGGAUAGGGGUGAAAGGCUAAUCAAGCCUGGUGAUAGCUGGUUCUCCCCGAAAGCUAUUUAGGUAGCGCCUCGGACGAAUACCAUAGGGGGUAGAGCACUGUUUCGGCUAGGGGGUCAUCCCGACUUACCAAACCGAUGCAAACUCCGAAUACCUAUGAGUACUAUCCGGGAGACAGACUGCGGGUGCUAACGUCCGUAGUCAAGAGGAAAACAAUCCAGACCGCCAGCUAAGGCCCCAAAAUCAUAGUUAAGUGGGAAACGAUGUGGGAAGGCAUAGACAGCUAGGAGGUUGGCUUAGAAGCAGCCACCCUUUAAAGAAAGCGUAAUAGCUCACUAGUCGAGUCGGCCUGCGCGGAAGAUGUAACGGGGCUAAAACUAUGUGCCGAAGCUGCGGAUGUAUACUUUGUAUACGUGGUAGGGGAGCGUUCUGUAAGCCGAUGAAGGUGUGUUGAGAAGCAUGCUGGAGGUAUCAGAAGUGCGAAUGCUGACGUGAGUAACGACAAAACGGGUGAAAAACCCGUUCGCCGAAAGACCAAGGGUUCCAGUCCAACGUUAAUCGGGGCUGGGUGAGUCGACCCCUAAGGCGAGGCCGAAAGGCGUAGUCGAUGGGAAAAUGGUUAAUAUUCCAUUACUUCUGUGUAAUGCGAUGAGAGGACGGAGAAGGCUAAAUCAGCCUGGCGUUGGUUGUCCAGGUGAAAGGAUGUAGGCAUGUAUCUUAGGCAAAUCCGGGGUACUCUAUGCUGAGAUCUGAUAGCAAGCUGUACUUGUACAGCGAAGUGGUUGAUGCCAUGCUUCCAGGAAAAGUCUCUAAGCUUCAGUUACACAGGAAUCGUACCCGAAACCGACACAGGUGGUCAGGUCGAGUAGACCAAGGCGCUUGAGAGAACUCUGCUGAAGGAACUAGGCAAAAUGGUACCGUAACUUCGGGAGAAGGUACGCUGUUGUUGGUGAUGGAACUCGCUUCCUGAGCUGACGACAGCCGCAGAAACCAGGCCGCUGCAACUGUUUAUUAAAAACAUAGCACUCUGCAAACACGAAAGUGGACGUAUAGGGUGUGAUGCCUGCCCGGUGCUGGAAGGUUAAUUGAUGGGGUUAGCGUAAGCGAAGCUCUUGAUCGAAGCCCCAGUAAACGGCGGCCGUAACUAUAACGGUCCUAAGGUAGCGAAAUUCCUUGUCGGGUAAGUUCCGACCUGCACGAAUGGCAUAAUGAUGGCGGCGCUGUCUCCAGCAGAGGCUCAGUGAAAUCGAAAUCGCUGUGAAGAUGCAGUGUACCCGCGGCUAGACGGAAAGACCCCGUGAACCUUUACUGCAGCUUGACACUGAACUUUGACCUUACUUGUGUAGGAUAGGUGGGAGGCUUUGAAGCUGGAACGCUAGUUCCAGUGGAGCCGUCCUUGAAAUACCACCCUGGUAAUGUUGAGGUUCUAACUCUGUCCCGUGAUCCGGGACGAGGACCGUGUCUGGUGGGUAGUUUGACUGGGGCGGUCUCCUCCUAAAGAGUAACGGAGGAGUACGAAGGUGCGCUCAGCGUGGUCGGAAAUCACGCGUAGAGUAUAAAGGCAAAAGCGCGCUUAACUGCGAGACCCACAAGUCGAGCAGGUACGAAAGUAGGUCUUAGUGAUCCGGUGGUUCUGUAUGGAAGGGCCAUCGCUCAACGGAUAAAAGGUACUCUGGGGAUAACAGGCUGAUACCGCCCAAGAGUUCAUAUCGACGGCGGUGUUUGGCACCUCGAUGUCGGCUCAUCUCAUCCUGGGGCUGAAGCAGGUCCCAAGGGUAUGGCUGUUCGCCAUUUAAAGAGGUACGCGAGCUGGGUUUAGAACGUCGUGAGACAGUUCGGUCCCUAUCUACCGUGGGCGCUGGAAAUUUGAGAGGAUCUGCUCCUAGUACGAGAGGACCAGAGUGGACGAACCUCUGGUGUACCGGUUGUGACGCCAGUCGCAUCGCCGGGUAGCUAUGUUCGGAAGGGAUAACCGCUGAAAGCAUCUAAGCGGGAAGCCUACCUCAAGAUAAGAUUUC